UCUCACGAGAAUUGUACCAAAGCAUUGGCCGUUUCAGUGCUGCUGGUACUGUCUGCACACCUCUGUUCAUCAUCGAUUUAUGACAGCCAACCCAACUGCAGUGAUACGUAUCCGAAUUGCCCAUACUGGGCGAGCAUAUACCAGUGUCUGGCCAAUCCGCU